rnacentral:rRNA from 1 species
UCCUACGGGAGGCAGCAGUGGGGAAUAUUGGUCAAUGGUCGGGAGACUGAACCAGCCAAGCCGCGUGAGGGAUGAAGGUACAGAGUAUCGUAAACCUCUUUUGUCAGGGAACAAAGGCGGGGACGCGUCCCCGGAUGAGUGUACCUGAAGAAAAAGCAUCGGCUAACUCCGUGCCAGCAGCCGCGGUAAUACGGAGGAUGCGAGCGUUAUCCGGAUUUAUUGGGUUUAAAGGGUGCGCAGGCGGUCUGUUAAGUCAGCGGUCAAAGCCCGGGGCUCAACCCCGGCCCGCCGUUGAAACUGGCAGG